GACGAACGCUGGCGGCGUGCUUGACACAUGCAAGUCGAACGGAAAGGCCCUGCUUUUGUGGGGUGCUCGAGUGGCGAACGGGUGAGUAACACGUGAGUAACCUGCCCUUGACUUUGGGAUAACUUCAGGAAACUGGGGCUAAUACCGGAUAGGAGCUCCUGCUGCAUGGUGGGGGUUGGAAAGUUUCGGCGGUUGGGGAUGGACUCGCGGCUUAUCAGCUUGUUGGUGGGGUAGUGGCUUACCAAGGCUUUGACGGGUAGCCGGCCUGAGAGGGUGACCGGCCACAUUGGGACUGAGAUACGGCCCAGACUCCUACGGGAGGCAGAAGUGGGGAAUAUUGCACAAUGGGCGGAAGCCUGAUGCAGCAACGCCGCGUGCGGGAUGACGGCCUUCGGGUUGUAAACCGCUUUCGCCUGUGACGAAGCGUGAGUGACGGUAAUGGGUAAAGAAGCACCGGCUAACUACGUG
rnacentral:rRNA from 1 species